rnacentral:rRNA from 1 species
GAUGAACGCUGGCGGCGUGCCUAAUACAUGCAAGUCGAGCGAACGGACGAGAAGCUUGCUUCUCUGAUGUUAGCGGCGGACGGGUGAGUAACACGUGGAUAACCUACCUAUAAGACUGGGAUAACUUCGGGAAACCGGAGCUAAUACCGGAUGAUAUUUUGAACCGCAUGGUUCAAAAGUGAAAGACGGUCUUGCUGUCACUUAUAGAUGGAUCCGCGCUGCAUUAGCUAGUUGGUAAGGUAACGGCUUACCAAGGCAACGAUGCAUAGCCGACCUGAGAGGGGGAUCGGCCACACUGGAGCUGAGACACGGUCCAGACUCCGACGGGAGGCAGCAGGAGGGAAUCUUCCGCAAUGGGCGAAAGCCUGACGGAGCAACGCCGCGUGAGUGAUGAAGGUCUGCGGAUCGUAAAACUCUGUUAUUAGGGAAGAACAUAUGUGUAAGUAACUGUGCACAUCUUGACGGUACCUAAUCAGAAAGCCACGGCGAACUACGU